rnacentral:lncRNA from 1 species
UCCGAUCCACAAAGUCCGAACCUCAUCUGCGUUAGCCGGUUGACCCGCUGGCUGUUGUUGAGCUGGUACCCCAGCCGAACCUUGUUGUGGGGGCCACAUAGGUGGAGGAUGACUCUGAGGCGGCUGCAUCAUGUUCAUCAUCAUGUAAGGUGGUUGUGUCUGAGGAACCGGAGCCGGAGGUGGUUGCUGAUAUUGGUACUGUUGUUGGGUCUGUGGAGCACCCGCCAUAGAAGGUGGUGGAGCCAUUGGUGGUGGUACCAUAGCUUGUGCUGGUUGUUGCAUCAUCUUCAAUUUGGAGAUAUUUUUGGUAUUGAGAGAGAAACUCAGAA